GAGUUUGAUCCUGGCUCAGGACGAACGCUGGCGGCGUGCUUAACACAUGCAAGUCGAACGAAGAGCGAUGGAAGCUUGCUUCUAUCAAUCUUAGUGGCGAACGGGUGAGUAACGCGUAAUCAACCUGCCCUUCAGAGGGGGACAACAGUUGGAAACGACUGCUAAUACCGCAUACGAUCUGACCUCGGCAUCGAGGAUGGAUGAAAGGUGGCCUCUAUUUAUAAGCUAUCACUGAAGGAGGGGAUUGCGUCUGAUUAGCUAGUUGGAGGGGUAACGGCCCACCAAGGCGAUGAUCAGUAGCCGGUCUGAGAGGAUGAACGGCCACAUUGGGACUGAGACACGGCCCAGACUCCUACGGGAGGCAGCAGUGGGGAAUCUUCCGCAAUGGACGAAAGUCUGACGGAGCAACGCCGCGUGAGUGAUGACGGCCUUCGGGUUGUAAAGCUCUGUUAAUCGGGACGAAAGGCCUUCUUGCGACUGGGG
rnacentral:rRNA from 1 species